GUCCACGCCGUAAACGAUGGAUACUUGUUGUUGGAGGUAUUGACCCCUUCAGUGACGAAGCUAACGCGUUAAGUAUCCCGCCUGGGGAGUACGGUCGCAAGAUUAAAACUCAAAGAAAUUGACGGGGGCCCGCACAAGCGGUGGAGUAUGUGGUUUAAUUCGAUGCAACGCGAAAACCUUACCUGGGUUUGACAUGUACUGGAAGACUGGCAGAGAUGUCGUCGCUCGCAAGAGUCGGUACACAGGUGCUGCAUGGCUGUCGU
rnacentral:rRNA from 1 species